GGUGUAUGUACAGUGUGAUUGACGCCCUUGCCGGGUACCUGUGAGAGUGAGCACUACACUGUAAAUCUUCAGACACCUGGUCAACAUGCGGGGACACCUUCUGAUUGUUGUUGUUGUGGUGGUGGUGUGUCAGCUCACAAACUCCAUGGCCGAUACAGACACCAAAGACCAGAGCCUGCUGCAUCUGCUGACUAAGCGAGAAUCCCUGUUUCCAACUAUUCCACCUCCUUUUUUUCCACGUCGAUGGCCUCCAUCUCCAACUUCAUGGUUUCUACCUACAAAACGUCCAGUGUGCAUGUGCGUCCUUGAAUCGUGCCCCCUGGAAUGCCUACCACGCCCACCUGCUCCGAUUCUGGACCCCACUUGGUAACUCCAGUGUAAAUCGGUCGGACAGGUGGAUGAUAAACGAACUAGCCAUCACUAGCAGCAUCAUGGUAUUCUCCCAUUACUACAAAUGACAGAGUGGAAACGACUGCCUUCACCUGACUUGUCUGCCAGCAAAAACAAAAGAAUUAGAAUCGCUGUUUGUUUUGAAGUGUUGCCAUGGAGUCAGUGAACUCUACUCACUGAUUGUGCUCCUUCGCUGUCAGCUGUGCUGCCAGUAUAAUUCAGUCCUCAAUCCUUAUAUUUAAAUUCAUUUUUAUUCUUUUAGUUUUGUGUAAACUUAAAAUGGAAGAAGGUCUGCAUUUUUAGUAUGUUGUUAGCAAUAAUAAAAAUACCGUUGUGGUUGUAAAUACAAAAGUAAACAAUGAACUGACAGCAACUCAUCUGACCUGAAGAUUAAAGUAAACAAUAUAAAUAUUGAAUUA